GACGAACGCUGGCGGCGUGCUUAACACAUGCAAGUCGAACGGAAAGGCCCUGCUUUUGUGGGGUGCUCGAGUGGCGAACGGGUGAGUAACACGUGAGUAACCUGCCCUUGACUUUGGGAUAACUUCAGGAAACUGGGGCUAAUACCGGAUAGGAGCUCCUGCUGCAUGGCGGGGGUUGGAAAGUUUCGGCGGUUGGGGAUGGACUCGCGGCUUAUCAGCUUGUUGGUGGGGUAGUGGCUUACCAAGGCUUUGACGGGUAGCCGGCCUGAGAGGGUGACCGGCCACAUUGGGACUGAGAUACGGCCCAGACUCCUGCGGGAGGCAGCAGUGGGGAAUAUUGCACAAUGGGCGGAAGCCUGAUGCAGCAACGCCGCGUGCGGGAUGACGGCCUUCGGGUUGUAAACCGCUUUCGCCUGUGACGAAGCGUGAGUGACGGUAAUGGGUAAAGAAGCACCGGCUAACUACGUG
rnacentral:rRNA from 1 species